GACAGAGGUGCCAAGCGUUAGGCGGAAUCACUGGGCUUAAAGCGUGUGUAGGCGGAAUGGUAAGUACCUUGUGAAAUCCCACGGCUCAACCGUGGAACUGCUGGGUAUACUGCUUUUCUUGAGCCACUUAGGGGCUGUCGGAACAAACGGUGGAGCGGUGAAAUGCGUAGAUAUCAGGAAGAACACCCGUGGCGAAGGCGGCUCUCUGGGACGGUACUGACGCUGAGACGCGAAAGCGUGGGGAGCGAACAGG
rnacentral:rRNA from 1 species